UACGUAGGUGGAGAGCGUUGUCCGGAUUUACUGGGCGUAAAGGGAGCAUAGGCGGACUUUUAAGUGAGAUGUGAAAUACCCGGGCUCAACUUGGGUGCUGCAUUUCAAACUGGAAGUCUAGAGUGCAGGAGAGGAGAAUGGAAUUCCUAGUGUAGCGGUGAAAUGCGUAGAGAUUAGGAAGAACACCAAUGGCGAAGGCGAUUCUCUGGACUGUAACUGACGCUGAGGCUCGAAAGCGUGGGGAGCAAACAGGAUUAGAUACCCGGGUA
rnacentral:rRNA from 1 species